GACGAACGCUGGCGGCGUGCUUAACACAUGCAAGUCGAACGGAAAGGCCCUGCUUUUGUGGGGUGCUCGAGUGGCGAACGGGUGAGUAACACGUGAGUAACCUGCCCUUGACUUUGGGAUAACUUCAGGAAACUGGGGCUAAUACCGGAUAGGAGCUCCUGCUGCAUGGUGGGGGUUGGAAAGUUUCGGCGGUUGGGGAUGGACUCGCGGCUUAUCAGCUUGUUGGUGGGGUAGUGGCUUACCAAGGCUUUGACGGGUAGCCGGCCUGAGAGGGUGACCGGCCACAUUGGGACUGAGAUACGGCCCAGACUCCUACGGGAGGCAGCAGUGGGGAAUAUUGCACAAUGGGCGGAAGCCUGAUGCAGCAACGCCGCGUGCGGGAUGACGGCCUUCGGGUUGUAAGCCGCUUUCGCCUGUGACGAAGCGUGAGUGACGGUAAUGGGUAAAGAAGCACCGGCCAACUACGUG
rnacentral:rRNA from 1 species